UGGGACGGCCCCGGCUAGCUCCGGAAUCCUCAGGGCGGAGUUCCCCCAAUGUCCCUACAGCCCCACAACAUUAAAUAUCGAUUACUAUCGACGUCUCACACUACAAAUACUAACAUCGCUAAUAACAAAAAAAGGUAAACAAAACAAAAUACACAAACCGGGACAAAUAUGACGGAAAAGUGGCAUUGGAUGUGGCUGCCACAGCGCACCCACCCUUCCUGUGGUGCCCCUAGCGUCGCGAGGGAGGCACCACCCAUGUUCCAAGGCCGGAGCCUCUGCCAGGCCAGACUACGACCGGUUCAUCUCCCCGCUGGAAAUUGCCUUAGGCCCACAUCAUCUUCAUCUCCGUUCUAAGUCAGGGCAAAACCACUACCCGGCCUGGACUGCACCAGCUGCAAGGGCUUCUUAAAACGGAAAUUUGGCCCCGCAGAAAACUUUUAAGCCAAGUGGCUGUCAUUCAUCAAACACCUCUUUUCUCUCCUAAUUACCCUGCUGGAGCUCCAAGAGGACACAAAAGGGACAGACCCCGACUUAGCGCAAGGCCAGACUCAAGCUCGCGGAAUCACGAAGACGUGCAGAAACGGACGAGGCGAGUACGCAAAUUUACGAAUACAAAAAUUAAUCUUAAAAUCUAACCACAGGCGCGGCGAGAAAGCCGGCUGCGGGUCGCCGAUGGACGACUUGGGACCCUUAUAAAGGGACGUGGCGGUCCGGAAACCGGUAUUACGCCCUGCCCCGGCCACUGCAGACCGUGACGUCGGAGAUGCUGCGUUGUUUGGGAGUCGCGUCGUGUUCGAGGCGUAGUGCGGCUCGGGUUCUACGUGCCCGGAACGGACUCACCGAG